rnacentral:rRNA from 1 species
GACAGAGGGUGCAAACGUUGCUCGGAAUUACUGGGCGUAAAGGGCGUGUAGGCGGUUUGGUAAGUCGGGCGUGAAAUCCCUGGGCUCAACCCAGGAACUGCACUCGAAACUACUUGUCUUGAGUGCCGGAGAGGAAAGCGGAAUUCCUGGUGUAGAGGUGAAAUGCGCAGAUAUCAGGAAGAACACCCGUGGCGAAGGCGGUUCUCUGGGACGGUACUGACGCUGAGACGCGAAAGCGUGGGGAGCGAACAGG